AGCGAACGCUGGCGGCAGGCUUAACACAUGCAAGUCGAACGGGCACUUCGGUGCUAGUGGCAGACGGGUGAGUGACGCGUGGGAACGUGCCUUUCGGUUCGGAAUAGUCCAGGGAAACUUGGACUAAUACCGGAUACGCCCUUCGGGGAAAGAUUUAUCGCCGAAAGUUCGGCCCGCGUCUGAUUAGCUAGUUGGUGAGGUAAAGGCUCACCAAGGCGACGAUCAGUAGCUGGUCUGAGAGGAUGAUCAGCCACACUGGGACUGAGACACGGCCCAGACUCUUACGGGAGGCAGCAGUGGGGAAUAUUGGACAAUGGGCGAAAGCCUGAUCCAGCCAUGCCGCGUGAGUGAUGAAGGCCUUAGGGUUGUAAAGCUCUUUUGUCCGGGAAGAUAAUGACUGUACCGGAAGAAUAAGCCCCGGCUAACUUCGUGCCAGCAGCCGCGGUAAU
rnacentral:rRNA from 1 species